UAGAUCUAGGCACAAUCUUUUUCUAAAGCGACUGGACCAAACGAAAUAUUGCACUACAAAUCCAAUUAAAUGAAUGAUACUGGGCAGUAGUUUCUUCCUCUAAUCGUCUUGCAAAUUGUUACAUCACGUUCUCCGGGUAAAAGUUUUCAAUUAGAUAUACGAAUCUUAUUCUGGUUGAAGGAAAAUUAAAACAGCACAAGAAGAAGUGAAU